rnacentral:hammerhead_ribozyme from 1 species
UACUGACUGACGUGUCCCAGAUAGGACGAAAUGCGCAUCCUGGUG